GGUUGGUCCGAUGGGAGUGGGUUAUCAGAACUUAUUAACAUUAGUGUUACUAAGUCCUUAUACAACCCUCCACUGCUAAAUUUGGCAAAAAAA
rnacentral:Y_RNA from 1 species